GCUUAACACAUGCAAGUCGAGGGGCAUCAGGAAGAAAGCUUGCUUUCUUUGCUGGCGACCGGCGCACGGGUGAGUAACACGUAUCCAACCUGCCCUUUACUCGGGGAUAGCCUUUCGAAAGAAAGAUUAAUACCCGAUGGCAUAAUGAUUCCGCAUGGUUUCAUUAUUAAAGGAUUCCGGUAAAGGAUGGGGAUGCGUUCCAUUAGGUUGUUGGUGAGGUAACGGCUCACCAAGCCUUCGAUGGAUAGGGGUUCUGAGAGGAAGGUCCCCCACAUUGGAACUGAGACACGGUCCAAACUCCUACGGGAGGCAGCAGUGAGGAAUAUUGGUCAAUGGGCGCUAGCCUGAACCAGCCAAGUAGCGUGAAGGAUGAAGGCUCUAUGGGUCGUAAACUUCUUUUAUAUAAGAAUAAAGUGCAGUAUGUAUACUGUUUUGUAUGUAUUAUAUGAAUAAGGAUCGGCUAACUCCGUGCCAGCAGCCGCGGUAAUACGGAGGAUCCGAGCGUUAUCCGGAUUUAUUGGGUUUAAAGGGAGCGUAGGUGGACUGGUAAGUCAGUUGUGAAAGUUUGCGGCUCAACCGUAAAAUUGCAGUUGAUACUGUCAGUCUUGAGUACAGUAGAGGUGGGCGGAAUUCGUGGUGUAGCGGUGAAAUGCUUAGAUAUCACGAAGAACUCCGAUUGCGAAGGCAGCUCACUGGACUGCAACUGACACUGAUGCUCGAAAGUGUGGGUAUCAAACAGGAUUAGAUACCCUGGUAGUCCACACAGUAAACGAUGAAUACUCGCUGUUUGCGAUAUACAGUAAGCGGCCAAGCGAAAGCAUUAAGUAUUCCACCUGGGGAGUACGCCGGCAACGGUGAAACUCAAAGGAAUUGACGGGGGCCCGCACAAGCGGAGGAACAUGUGGUUUAAUUCGAUGAUACGCGAGGAACCUUACCCGGGCUUAAAUUGCAGUGGAAUGAUGUGGAAACAUGUCAGUGAGCAAUCACCGCUGUGAAGGUGCUGCAUGGUUGUCGUCAGCUCGUGCCGUGAGGUGUCGGCUUAAGUGCCGUAACGAGCGCAACCCUUAUCUUUAGUUACUAACAGGUCAUGCUGAGGACUCUAGAGAGACUGCCGUCGUAAGAUGUGAGGAAGGUGGGGAUGACGUCAAAUCAGCACGGCCCUUACGUCCGGGGCUACACACGUGUUACAAUGGGGGGUACAGAAGGCAGCUAGCGGGUGACCGUAUGCUAAUCCCAAAAUCCUCUCUCAGUUCGGAUCGAAGUCUGCAACCCGACUUCGUGAAGCUGGAUUCGCUAGUAAUCGCGCAUCAGCCACGGCGCGGUGAAUACGUUCCCGGGCCUUGUACACACCGCCCGUCAAGCCAUGGGAGCCGGGGGUACCUGAAGUACGUAACCGCAAGGAUCGUCCUAGGGUAAAACUGGUGACUGGGGCUAAGU
rnacentral:rRNA from 1 species